GUCGUGCCUGCGUAGUGAAACUGAGGAACGCGCCGGAAGCAGAAUCCGGUUCCCGCAAGGGAGUGAGGGUUCGCUUCCCUCCCACGGCA
rnacentral:tRNA from 1 species